CGCGUGGGGAUAUGCCCAGAGGUGGGGAAUAACUGUGGGAAACUACAGCUAAUACCGCAUAAGCCCGGAGGUUUAGCGACUUUUGGGGAAAGAUUUAUCGCCUUUGGAUUAACCCGCGUCAGAUUAGCUAGUUGGUAGGGUAAUGGCCUACCAAGGCGACGAUCUGUAGCUGGUCUGAGAGGAUGAUCAGCCACACUGGGACUGGGACACGGCCCAGACUCCUACGGGAGGCAGCAGUGGGGAAUAUUGGACAAUGGGCGCAAGCCUGAUCCAGCCAUGCCGCGUGAGUGAUGACGGCCU
rnacentral:rRNA from 1 species